AAAAGCCUAAAAGGUUGUAUGUACAUUGCGAUCGUUAUCAAUAAUGAAUACGAUUUGUGUUAUUAGGAUAUAAGACCUCGUUAGACUGUUUGGCGCUGGAAUUCUUUUUGUCCGAAUACUACCAAUGCAAAUGGAUUCGGUUGAAUUCUGCAACCCAUAAACAUUGGAAGAUAUCUCAGUUAUCAAGUCAAGCUUCUUCCUCCCACCAAUUAUGGGAUUGCAUAAAUACAUGUUCCUAAUCUAUUAUGUCUUUAAGUUCGAUUACUUUUUCAACUAGUUGUUUGUUAUUUGUUGAAGUUGAGAAUGUAUUUUGUUUCAAAGGUUUUUAAUUUCAGAUUUUAUUUUGGUAUAUCAAUUGUAUGAUAUUGUCAAUUUUAUUUGUGUUGCUAGUACUUUACCUUUGUAGAAAUAUUGUUUAUUCAGUGGUUAAAUUCCA
rnacentral:lncRNA from 1 species